rnacentral:rRNA from 1 species
UGGGGAAUAUUGGACAAUGGGCGCAAGCCUGAUCCAGCAAUGCCGCGUGGGUGAAGAAGGUCUUCGGAUUGUAAAGCCCUUUCGGCGGGGACGAUGAUGACGGUACCCGCAGAAGAAGCCCCGGCUAACUUCGUGCCAGCAGCCGCGGUAAUACGAAGGGGGCUAGCGUUGCUCGGAAUGACCGGGCGUAAAGGGCGCGUAGGCGGUUCACACAGUCAGGCGUGAAAUUCCUGGGCUCAACCUGGGGGCUGCGUUUGAUACGUGUGGACUAGAGUGGGGAAGAGGGUCGUGGAAUUCCCAGUGUAGAGGUGAAAUUCGUAGAUAUUGGGAAGAACACCGGUGGCGAAGGCGGCGACCUGGUCCUUGACUGACGCUGAGGCGCGAAAGCGUGGGGAGCAAACA